UUAAACUAAUGAUAUAUUUUAUGUGCACAAGUCGCAUAGAAUCUAAUCUGAGACCUUGUUUUCUGUUUUAUAUGCAUUUAAUAAAAAAUAUUAAAUGUACUUUUAAUCAUCACUAUGUUCUGCAUGGAUUCGAAAUGCACCAAAAUGCGAAAUAAGAGGCUGCACAUAUAACUUAAGUGCAUUGAUUUAAACGAAACUAAACUGAAAACAAAACCAAAUGGCGCUGAAAAAGAAAACAGGCAUGUUGUGCUGCCGACAAAAGUUUAAAAUCGCCACGAUCUUGAUUUCGAAAGCCACUACAGGAAGACUGAAAAAUGACCGAAGAAAACCAAUUGAUGCCUUUGAAAAGUGGCAUCUUCCUCGGGGGACAUAUAUGUUUCACCGCAUGGUGCGGUUUCAGAUCGGCCCGACGUGAACGGUGAGAAAAUCAAGAUGCAUGCAUGGGCAAUAAAGAUUUCGACUGCUAAACAGGUUCACAGUAGGAGCUUGCCAUCAGAUCACUUCGAACAAAUGGCACAGCGCAAUUCCCCAGUUAGGCUUAGUUAUUCAUUAUGUGUCGAAAAUA